rnacentral:rRNA from 1 species
AGCUUGCUCUUGNGUGACGAGUGGCGGACGGGUGAGUAAUGUCUGGGGAUCUGCCCGAUAGAGGGGGAUAACCACUGGAAACGGUGGCUAAUACCGCAUAACGUCGCAAGACCAAAGAGGGGGACCUUCGGGCCUCUCACUAUCGGAUGAACCCAGAUGGGAUUAGCUAGUAGGCGGGGUAAUGGCCCACCUAGGCGACGAUCCCUAGCUGGUCUGAGAGGAUGACCAGCCACACUGGAACUGAGACACGGUCCAGACUCCUACGGGAGGCAGCAGUGGGGAAUAUUGCACAAUGGGCGCAAGCCUGAUGCAGCCAUGCCGCGUGUAUGAAGAAGGCCUUCGGGUUGUAAAGUACUUUCAGCGGGGAGGAAGGCGAUGUGGUUAAUAACCGCGUCGAUUGACGUUACCCGCAGAAGAAGCACCGGCUAACUCCGUGCCAGCAGCCGCGGUAAUACGGAGGGUGCAAGCGUUAAUCGGAAUUACUGGGCGUAAAGCGCACGCAGGCGGUCUGUUAAGUCAGAUGUGAAAUCCCCGGGCUUAACCUGGGAACUGCAUUUGAAACUGGCAGGCUUGAGUCUUGUAGAGGGGGGUAGAAUUCCAGGUGUAGCGGUGAAAUGCGUAGAGAUCUGGAGGAAUACCGGUGGCGAAGGCGGCCCCCUGGACAAAGACUGACGCUCAGGUGCGAAAGCGUGNGGAGCAAACAGGAUUAGAUACCCUGGUAGUCCACGCCGUAAACGAUGUCGACUUGNAGGUUGUUCCCUUGAGGAGUGGCUUCCGGAGCUAACGCGUUAAGUCNACCGCCUGGGGAGUACGGCCGCAAGGUUAAAACUCAAAUGAAUUGACGGGGGCCCGCACAAGCGGUGGAGCAUGUGGUUUAAUUCGAUGCAACGCGAAGAACCUUACCUACUCUUGACAUCCAGCGAACUU